ACGGGAGUAGCAAUACUCCAGUGGCGGACGGGUGAGUAACGCGUGAGAAUCUACCUUCUGGUCGGGGACAACCACUGGAAACGGUGGCUAAUACCGGAUAUGCCGCAACGUGAAAGAUUUAUCGCCAGAAGAGGAGCUCGCGUCUGAUUAGCUAGUUGGUAGGGUAAAGGCCUACCAAGGCAUCGAUCAGUAGCUGGUCUGAGAGGACGAUCAGCCACACUGGGACUGAGACACGGCCCAGACUCCUACGGGAGGCAGCAGUGGGGAAUUUUCCGCAAUGGGCGAAAGCCUGACGGAGCAAGACCGCGUGAGGGAAGAAGGCUCUUGGGUCGUAAACCUCUUUUGUUAGGGAAGAACACAAUGACGGUACCUAACGAAUCAGCCUCGGCUAACUCCGUGCCAGCAGCCGCGGUAAUACGGAGGAGGCAAGCGUUAUCCGGAAUUAUUGGGCGUAAAGCGUCCGCAGGUGGCGAUUCAAGUCUGCGGUCAAAGACUGGGGCUUAACCCUGGAAAGGCCGUGGAAACUGAAGAGCUAGAGUGCAGUAGGGGUAGAGGGAAUUCCCGGUGUAGCGGUGAAAUGCGUAGAGCUCGGGAAGAACAUCGGUGGCGAAAGCGCUCUGCUGGACUGCAACUGACACUC
rnacentral:rRNA from 1 species